CUCAAACACACACACCUGCUGCUCCUGGGCUGUUCUGAUGGCACGGUAUCCUGGGAAGGGGAGCAAGUGCGAGGUGUGUAUUAGUGGAAGUCCAGCAGAAGAGAUGGCGAAUGUAACAGGGCUGGGCUAAGGGGAGCUGGCGAGGGAGUGCAGAGCACCUUGAAGGCAGCAGAGCAGAGUCAUUUGGGACCUGGAGAGCGCACGGCUGGAGGAGGGGCUGCCCCACAGAAGCGUGGCCUUCACAGGGGAGAACCACGGUCACCCCAGGCCCAGCAGGGUGUGUAAGUGAGUGGAGAGCAAUCCACAGCCUUUCAUCCUCACAGUCAGGUCUCCAUAACUGACCCUACCAAAGGCCUGGUUGGUGCAGCCUUAGAAGUCAAUCCUUCAGGUACGGGGUGCAGAGCAGGGUGGGGCAGAGUGGAGAGUGGGAGGUGGGGUACAGGGAGCCUCUGGAGCUUUCUUUCUGUUAUUAUUUUGUGUGUGCUUUGAGACAGGGUCUUGCUGUGUUGCCCAGGCUGGAGUGCAGCAGCAUGAUCACAGCUCGCUACGGCCUCGACCUCCUGGCCUCAAGUGAUCCUCCUACUUCAGCCUCCUGAGUAGCUGGGACUACAGGCUUGCAUCACCAUGCCUGGCUGAUUUUUUAUUUUUAUUUUUUGUAAAGAUGAGGUCUCACUAUGUUGCCCAGGUUGGCCUCAAACUCCUGGGCUCAAGCCAUCCUCCAGCCUUGGCCUCCCAAAGUGCUGGGAUUACAGGUGUAAGCCACCAUGCCUGGACUCUCUGGAGCUUUCUGAGGAACAGACAGGGUGGCAGUGACGCUCUGUGCCCCCGAGAGGGGGUGGGCUGGAAAGCAGAACAUGCUAUUCUGUGUGCGCCCAGGGCAGCUUCAUCCUUCUGGCUUCUCUGACCACCACCAGCCAUGCUGGGUGCAAGAGCCCCAAGGGAGGGCCCCUGUUCUUUCCCUGGGGUACCCAGAGGAUUUCCCAUACUUGCAUAGGACCUGGGGGUCAGGAGGGGGAGGAAUCAGGAAGAAGAAGCCGCCUCUGAGAGAAGGAGUGGGAGAGAGCCAGCAGCAGAGCUGUCUCCCAGCUUCUCACUUUCAGAAACACACUCGCUGCCGCAGCCUUUUAUUCUUCCUACAAAUUUGUACUGCACACUUACUGUGGGCAAGGCCAGUUCCUGCCAAGCACAAGCUUGUGCUUAGGCAGCUGUCAGUGUGGGCACGCCCUCCAUGGCUGCCUGGCCUGAGGGCAGGCUCAUUAAGCGAAUGAGGAGGGGCAGUGUCAGUUCACCGGCUGCCUCCUCCGAGGAAUCUUCCAGCCCACCCCAGCCCAAGGCUCCCUUCCUGUCCCGAGCACCAUGUCUGUCACUGUUAGCAUUAUUGCCUACAGUUACUGCCCCCCAAGUAUAACCUCCCCAGGACCCAUACCUAGGAGGGAGGGAACUACAGGCAGUGGAGGCCUCUGCUUAGAGAUGCUCUGUAAUUCUGACUGCCCCAUGCUCACCUCUGGAAAGAGAGGCAGUUCAAUUACCCAACCAAUAAUGUAGCCAUUUUCUGUCUGUUGGGCAGGUGAGACCAAUAAUACCAGCUGCCCCCAGCUCCAGUCCCCCCUCCCCUGGCUCAGCAUCUUAGCACAUUUGUUGCUUAGCAAGGGAGGGUGGUUCCCAUGACUUUCUGUUUCUUUGCUCCCCACUCACCUAGCAGCUGAUGGGGAGUGGGAGGACAGUGGUCGCCUGUCAGCUUCCCUGCUGUCUUAUGUGCACAUGGCAGGGGUGCCGUACAGCCUGGAGGCCUGGACAAAUGGAAUUCAAGGGCUGGGGAAAGAGUGGGCUGAGGCCUUACCGGUCACACCUACAGGCUGCCGAGCCUGCCAGGCAGCUUCAAUUGCAGGGUUCGGCUCCCAGAGAGAAUGGCUGCUGUUCUAUUCUACCUUGGUCCCUGGGAUGGAAACCUGAUUGGAUUGAAUCCUAGGAUAUGUCAUUUUCCCUCUGCUAGCUGCUGGUCCCAGCGUCUCCCAUACCUGAUGGUGUGAGGCUGGACCAGAGCCGGUAUCUAUGCCAGGAGAGUCUGGGGCUUGGCCUGUUUCUGGGGCACUGGGGCACUGGGGCAGGGAAUAGGUCUUGGCUGCUAGGUGAGCUACUCCUCAAUGCACCCAGGAGCUUUCCAGAUCCAUAGCCCUGAAGAGAGAAGAGAGAAGAUCUCACGGACUGUUGAUCUUUCACCUUUCCCUCUCUGCUGUCCCCAACCUGUCAUCUGUGCCACAGAACUGAGGACCUAGUUGGAGAGACAGACAGGUGAGAUAGAUGGCUGAGAGAGGGACCAAACUGCCCCACCCCCAGCCAGCCCUUAAGAACCUCCUUUUAAAAUUGCUUUGCAUCAUAUUUCUCUCCCUGCUCAGCCCCACUGGCUCCAGCAGCUCUGGCCUCCUCAUCCAUCAUGCUGGCUGCAGGGCACGAGCGUAUGUCUUGCAGAGAAACCUUUCUGCCCUAGGCCUCCAAGGGGAAGGGCUCAGCUGUCAGAGAAGAGGGCCGUUUCCAAAGGGGUCAAAGCGCUGGACCCUCCAGGAUUGAUGGGCUAUGAAUUAUGGAUGUCGCAUCCGCCAGUCCCAAGGCUCCAGAGCCAGAGAGGGUAUCCCUGCCUUCCUUCUUUGUUGGCGUCUUCUCUCUGGCAUCCCUUUAGCGUUCGCUCAUUUCAUAUUAGGUGCCUUCCUGUACUGAUGUUACUUGUCGGUUGCUUUGUUUAAUGGAUGGGGUUGAUGUGCACCCCCGCCCUAAUCAACCGGGACCCCUGAGCAUAAGGGCUGCUCCUCUUCCAUGGCUAGUAUCAGCCACACUUAGGUGCUCAGUAUCAUGCGGUCACCUAGUCUUACGAAGAAUGAAGAGUGGCUCCAGGAGUCUAUGAAGGCAGCAGUGAGGCCAGACGGUGCACAAAGUGGCCACAGGGACUAACUUCCUCCCCCCAGCAAACAGCAUUUCACUGUGCUCUGAGCAAGGAUUGCCCCAACUCUUUCCUCCUUUACCCCCACUUCUUCCUUCCUUUGGGGUCGCUGGCCUCUCCUUCUGCUGCCCCACCCCACUCUGCUUGCAUUCCCAGGCCUGUCCCUGGCAGGGGCUCUCCCAAGCAGUGUUCCCUCUGCCCAGCCCCACCUCCACCUUUCUCCCCUGCCACAUGCCCACAUGCUCAGGUAGCCCCCUCAUGCCCUCCCCUGGAUUCAGCUGUUCCCUCUGCCAAAGAGUCCUACCUCUGUGGAAUGAUUUUCAGCUCUUACCCUGAAUGGCUCCUUGGACAUCUCCGAACCCUUCUCCCAUCCAACUCUGCUACCUCUGUUCUCACACAGUACUCACAUCUUCCUCUAAUCUACAUGCAUCAGCCUCCUCACCAAUUCCUCAGACUCCAGGCUUGUCCCCAUCAGUCACAGCCACCUUUCACAGAACUUCCCAAAUCUCCACCUGAGCCUUCUGACCAAUCACCCCUCCAUGAAACUCCAGCAGGAGCUCCUUUCAUGCUCUGCCCCCUGAAGCCGCCUCUCCUGCCCUCUCCACCCCCACCUCUGCUCACGCCACAUGCGCCAGCUGCUGCCUGCACAGUGCUCCCUCUGUUGAGGGUCCCCGAGUGCCUUCCUUCCCCCACCCUAUGCCCAGGAGCUUCCACCAGUCCUAGGUGUCCUGGUCCAGCGUCCCUGCUUUCAGGAUCCUUCUUUGGUCUUUGCCUCCUCAUGAACUGGCUGCUCCACAUUGGUGCUGCCAUUGGCCAUGUGCAUGCCUCUGUCCCCACUUACUGCUUUAUUUUUAUUUUAUUUUAUUUUUUGAGACAGAGUCUCGCUCUGUUGCCCAGGCUGGAGUGCAGUGGUGUAUUCUCGGCUCACUGCAACCUCUGCCUCUCCAGGUUCAAGCGAUUCUUCCACCUCAGCCUUCUGAGUAGCUGGGAUUACAGGUGCUUGCCACCAUGCCCAGCUAAUUUUUGUAUUUUUAGUAGAGACGGGGUUUCACCAUGUUGGCCAGGCUGGUCUCAAACUCCUGACCUCAGGCAAUCCACCUGCCUUGGCCUCCCAAAGUGCUGGGAUUACAGGCGUGAGCCACCGCUCCAGGCCACUGCUUGGUAUUUUAAUGUUCUAUUCCUGUACCUGUGCAACUCCCUCCCCACCUCCUUGCCCUGCUGUAUGUCUCACAUCUCCAGCACCUGGAGUCCCUGGCAUGUAAGAAAGGCCUCUACAUCCUGAACAAGGGAAAUACAUUGAAUGAAGGAAUGACUAGAAGUGAGCCGGUCCGGUGGGCAGAGGCUCACAGGUAGGGGUUGAAAGCGUGGGCGUAUGGAGAGGCAGGCUGGAGGAGCAGCAUUUGAGGUAAAUUAGAAAAUAGCGCGAGAUUUAGCCACAGGGGGAGAAAGGCUUUCAAUAUACAAAACACCCCUUCCCUCGCUGCUCCUGUCAGCACCUUCUCAAAGCGAGGAAAAUAAAUCUGUUUUCUUUAUGACAAAGCCUGAUUUGAUGAUAAACCCUCUCAGCUUCCCGGGAGGUGGCAGUGACUCUGAUAGGUGGGGAGGAGGCAGGAGUAGGUAAAGGAAGCGGGGGCUGGGGGAGAGAAAAAAAGAGAGAGAGAGACUGAGGCGGGGGAGGAGAGGGAGAGAAAGCGCUUGUUCUGUGCGCUGAUUACUAAUGCGGUGGAAAAGCUGGGCAGGUUCUGGAGGGAGGCAUUUAUCCUGCAUGAGAAAGCAGGCAGUGUGUUUCAGAAGCUAUCCACAGGCCCCCCCGCCGCCAAGCUAGAGGGAAGGAGAUGGGGAAGGAGAGGGCCGGGCAGGACCUGGGGCUUGGCUCUGCCCUGAGCCACAGCAUGAAGAGGGACAGAGCUGCUGAACUCUUGGCUCUCAGGGCCACAGUCACCUGGGGCCCUUCUUUUUCCAGGGGGCUGCUUCAUCCGCCGAAGUCGCAGCCUUCUUCCUUGGGGACGUGUUUACAGGGUCACUUGGCUCCUUUCUCUACCUUUCUGGAGGGUGGGGGAAACCCAGCCCCAUUCCUGGCACCUAAAGUUGGAAACUGAGGGAGGCUCCUGGGAGUCCCCGUCCCUGAGGGAGGGGUGGUGUCUUUGGGGUGGCUGGGUCUGAGCAGCGUGUGGAUGCCGGGGAGCCAGGGGGCAUACCCCUGUAACUUUCCUCUCUUACCAUGAAGAGAAGCAGAGCCGUCUGCCACAGGGUUAGGCAACUUGUCCCUCAUCCCUUGUGGGGACCCCUCUCUGAGUAGCCUUCCUGUUAAGAAAACAAAAGAACAUGUGAGAUCACGGAGCUGCAGACUGCACCUUGGAGAUCACUGAAUCUUCUCUUCUCUUGGCCAGAGGAGGGGAUAGAAGAAAGCAGACAUGCCUGAGGCCACACAGCUGGCUGUCAUAGAAGUUACUUGGACAACACCACCCACCCCUGGGGGGUGGGGUGGUGGGAACUUGCUUGGUGAUGGCAACAAACAAACAAACACUUUCCCCUUCCCACUUCUCUUCCGGUAUUCCAGACAGGAGGAAUAAUGUACUGAUCUGCUGACAUUAAGAAGGACCCUAUUUUCAGAUUACUUCUUCAAAGGAGCAGCAUCUACAUUGGCAAGGUGAUUACAACCCAAGCACACAGCUGAUUUGGAAGACUUGAGUCCCAAAAGAUGACUUUUUUUUUUCCUCCUCCUCUGCAGGAUGCUUUAGCUUGAAACAUCUGGGUAACUGCUUAACACCUUCCUAUUUUGCAGAACAUUCCCAGCAUCGGGGCCGUUUGCAUCUUUCUGGGCUAGUAUUUUUCAGGAUUAUUUAGAACCAAGGACCUCAUGCACUGGGGGAGGUCCUGCUCCUCUCUGCCCACCCCGUUUCUCAUGCCCCCACUUCCACCUCCAACACUCCCUCAAGGGCAGAGGCGCUCAUCUUCCACUGUAUGUCCGCAGGGUUAAAACCUGCCAUGUUGCCUGUCUCCCAGGACAUGGCUCCUUCAGGGAUUUCUUUCUUUUUUUUUUUUGUUUUUUUGUUUUUUUUUGAGACACAGUCUCGCUCUGUCACCAGGCUGGAGUGCAGUGGUGCAAUCUCAGCUUACUGCAACCUCCACCUCCCAGGUUCAAGCAAUUCUCCUGCCUCAGCCUCCUGAGUAGCUGGGACUAUAGCGCACAGCACCACACCCGGCUAUUUUUUGUAUUUUUAGUAGAGACGGGGUUUCACCAUGUUGGUCAGACUGGUCUCGAACUCCUGACCUUGUGAUCUGUCUGCUCGGCCUCCCAAAGUGCUGGGAUUACAGACGUGAGCCACUGUGCCGAGCCUCCUUCAGGGAUUUCUUAGAUCUCCAAGAGAGGUGCUGCGGCUCUCACAGGUGUUGGGCUCCAGGAGCCUGUCCUGGGAGGCAGGGGGCCUCUCUGUGGGAGGAAGCACCUCUCCUAAGACUGCCCAGUGAUCCUUGGGGGACACUGAUUAUGGACAACGUGUAAUUCAAAGGUCGUUACCUUUGGUUUCAGGAUGGGUCAGAAAGGGCCUGAAAAGCUUGGAUUAUUCUCUCUUCUGCAUGGACUAGAGAAGGGUCAGGAAGGCCUGCAGCUAAGCAAGCUUUAAAGCCAUGGUAUAGUUGAUUUGGGCUCAGAAAGCUCAACUUGUGAGACUAGACUGAUUGUGUGUCUGUAUUUUCUGUACUUCCUUCCUUUUCUCCUUUUACCAUUUGAUACCUCUUUGUCAAUGGUAGUCUGUGCUACUGGGAACAGUAGGAGAGGGUUGGGUCUUUGUUCUUAGACUAGAAAUGUAAUAAGAUAGGGAUAGGCACCACACCCCUUGGGCUUGGAUAUGCUUUGAGCAACAGAUUUGGAGUGAGGGAACUCCAAGGGGCCAGGACAGAGUGAGGUGCUGGUGUGAUCAGGAUAUAGGGUAGUCAAACUCAGGUCUUCAGAUUCUCAUUCCAGUGCUCACUCCCUUGCAUCACAGUUCCUCUACAGAUGCCAUAACAAGAAACACUUCCACUCCCUCCUGUGUCUGAACUGUGUGUUAGACACAAAAGAAAAUAAUUCUGGAGUCGGUACAGUGGCACACAUCUGUAAUCCCAGGAACUCAGGAGGCUAAGGCAGGUGAACAUUUGAGCCCAAGAGUUCAAAACCAGCCUAGGUAACCUAGUGAGACCCAGUCUUUUAAAAAAAGAGAGAGAGAGAGAAAAGAAUUCCUGAAGGCAGGGCUGGGACUGGUAGUGCCAGGAGGAAACAAAAAGCUAUUUGCUGUGGUGCCUGAGCACAGAAGGAGAAUAGAGAAAAAGGAGGCAGAAGGAGUGCAGAGGGGAGGAAGGGGAGAGCAGGGCGUUCUGUGUGGGCUCAUUUGAAAGGAAGUACACAAGCCCAUCCAGGCCAUGGGUUUGGCCAUAUCUGGAAGGGCUGGACAGGCCAGGUUGAAGACAAGAAGGCCUCAGUGUGGGGAAUUUUAUUACAAUGAGGCAGGAAGGAGGUGGUCCUUGGGCUUCUUUGUCACCCGCAGGGAGAAGGGAGACGUGAGAGCUGUGGGGAAAGAAGCAGGCCUCCUCCCCCUGCAUGGAGACCUUUGUCCAUGCUGCCGGCGGCCACAGGAGGGAGGCGUGUGAGAUGGCGGCUGCUGGAGAAUGUGAUGCCCGCUGGUCCAAGAGAUGACCUUGAGAGAGAGGAGAGACAAAAUUGAGCUGGUGUCUAGUGUGGGGGAGAGGGGAGGGGCAGGUGAGGUGGGAGGAGAAAGCUGAGAGGCAGCUAGACAGGGAGGGGGUGGGGAGAGCCGGGGCCACCUCCCCGUCUGGUCUGUCUGCCUCUGUCCUGGCCAGAAGGAAGGAGGACACAGACACAGGCAUGUAGGGGUGCGGCAGAGAUGGGGGGCCGUGUGUCUUUGAGCCCCAAGGUUCUCCUGAGCUGAGACCUUCAUUACCUCAUGUGCUUCCUAAGGAUACAGGCCUUGAACCUGCUGGGGGCAGGCCCUGGACUCAAGCUCCAUAGGCAGCCCCCCUUUUUCUAGCCUGGGUGAUGCCCUCCCGAGUCCUUGCUUUUCAAAGCAUUUUGGGGGGACGUGGUAGGGGCACCCAUCCUCUGCUCCAGGAGCUGGAGAUGGGAUUUCCCAUUUCUCUGACAAGAAUUCCCAAGAAGUGAUGGCUGUCACUGCAGCUCCACCCCCAUGCCCAUCUUUCUUUUUCUGUUAUAGAUUGUUUAUGUUAAGUCAUCUUUCUCUGGGACAAAGUACUUAGCCUCUCAUUUUCAUCAGUAAAAGCAGGGAUAAUAAUUCCUUCCUCACAGAGUUGUUAGGACUGCCAAAUUAGGUCCCAUAUGUAAAAGAGCUUGCUGAAGUGCAAACUGACAGCAGAAAUGUAAGAGAUUACUAUUCCCAGGGAAGAGACAAAAGAGAAAAGGAAGCAGGAAGGGAGUCCAGGCAAGGUCAGGGUGGGGAAAUGGCCUUGGCUCCUAAAACAGACUUAGCUCCAGCCUCUCCAGCAGCCCCUCCCACCCUCCCUUCUCCACGAGCCUCCUCUGGCCCUAGGCCUUGCUGGGUAACCUUUGGAAAAACAGGACCCUGGAGCUGAGAAUGGGGCAGGCAGAGGGGGAGGUCAUUGCAAACUCAUCCUUUCUCUCACGGAGAGGAGGGGCCCUGGCCUCUUCCCCUUGACCUCCUCCCGCUGAUACUCAUAGGACAGGUUAGGGCAAGACCCUCCUGAAGGCCACAGGGUGCCCCAGAGGAGGGAGGCACUCCCCUUCACACAGAGCUGGCAGAAUAGUCACCAGGGUGCCGCCCAGAGCAAGUGCCCUUGCCAAGGUCAAAUAUGAGUUGCUGCUGGGCCACAAAGGACCUGGAUGAGUGAGGUUAGGAAAGUCUGGUGUUGGAGGAGGUGGAUGUGAUGCAAACCUAGACUGCCGGCUGGCAUGAGGCCCUCAAGCUAGCUGCCGUGCCUGGCUGGACCCCACAGCCCCUCCUCUCACUCCCUUCCUUUGUACUCUCUCAGGGCUGGCUUGCAUCUGCUCUGUGUCAUUCUCUCCAUCUUUACCAUUCUACAAGACAGGAGGGCCUCACUCUGGCUAAAGAGGUGCUCUCUGCCUUCCCUGCCAGUUGCCCAACCCUAACCCCUUUAGGUACCUGAGAAACAGGAGGCCUAGCUGUUCACAUCAAGAUCGAGAAGGAACAGCUGUGGGGUUUCUCUCUCUCUGUCUCUCCCCAUCUCUCUCUUCCUCCUUCCCUCCCUGGUGCAGAGGGACAGAUGCUCUGUUUAGAAUUUCUUCAGGGAGACAGACAACAAGGGCAUUCUUUCUAUUCCUUGGGCUUCCCUAGCCAAAAAUGGGGGAUUAGCCAAGAGACAGCUGCAGAGGCAGCGGCCCUUGGGGAACCCCUCCCGGAGCAGCAAUGGCCUGGGGAAAGAAACUCUCUGGAGCUGGCCUCCUUUAAUUGGAACUUGAAAAUGGUGUCUGCAUUGGAGUGUGGCAGAGAGCAGGACUUCAGACUCUGGCUGGAUGGACCCCGGAUUGAAUCCUAGCUCUGCCACUCUCUUGCUGUUUGGGUUUGGGCCUCUCCCCUUUCAGAAGCCUGUUUCUUCAUCUGCAGUCUGAAGAUGAGCAUCCCUACUCACUAGGGUUUUUGCUGGAAUUAAAUGAGUUGAUGCACAGAAAAGCUUCUAUUAUAGGUCUGGCAAACUCCAGGAGUCCAGGGAUUGUUAGAUCUCCUGUCCCACAAUAGAGCAGGAGCCAGGUGACUUUCUGUAUUCAGCAAAGAGUAACCGAGAGGCAUGUGGGAAUGAUGUGGCUUCCAGUACCCAAAAGCCCCAGUUCUGGAAAACCUUUUUUUUUUUUAAUUAGAUUUUUGAAAAAAUUGGAUUCCUCGGCCAGGAGUGGUGGCUCACACCUGUAAUUCCAACACUUCGGGAGGCCGAGGCGGGCAGAUCACCCGAGGUCAGGAGUUCGAGACCAGCCUGACCAACAUGGAGAAACCCUGUCUCUACUUAAAGUACAAAAUUAGCCAGGUGUGGUGGCGCAUGCCUGUAAUCCCAGCUACUCAGGAGGCUGAGGCAGGAGAAUUGCUUGAAUCCGGGAGGCAGAGGUUGUGGUGAGCCAAGAUCACGCCAUUGCACUCCCCCCUGGGCAACAAGAGUGAAACUCCAUCUCAAAAAAAAAAAAAAAAGAAAAAAGAAAAUUGGAUUCCUCAAUCCAGGAUCUCUUGCAUUUGGAGAACUUUAGGCUUUCAGCUGUUGCAUGCCUAGGCCUUGUCAUAAUCCAAUAAAGCAGGAUAUGGAACGGGAUAUUGGAUAUGGAAGGGGAUAGGAUUGGUGGAUGAAACAGAGAAAGGGAGAGAGAGACAGAAAACACACACACACACACACACUCUGAGAGAGAGAGAGACACACACAGAGAGAGAGAUUCCGCUGUAACAAACUCUUGGAAGACAGAAAGAGGAGGCAAAGGAGAGGAAGGGCCAGUGACAGCUCUGCUGCUCUGAAAGUCAAGGGGCCCUUGGCUCACUGCCUUCCCCGUCCUUCCCUGGGGCCAGGUGCGCUGGAAUCCUAGAUUCCCUGGGAGUGAGGGUAGGUACCAUGACGGCAUGAAGUCACCUCCCACCACCUUCAAGACUUCCCACUGCCAGUCUGUAGCCUGUGUGUUGAGUCCUGGUCCAACCCUGAGUCACCCGUGUGAACUGGGGUCAGUGAUUGGUCUCUAGUUCUCCAUCUCUCCAUCUGAAGAAUGUGAAUAAUAAUUUCUGACUUGGCUGUUUACAGGACCGCCGUGAGGAUCCAAGUGCACAGUGAGGUGGGGGGAGGCAGAUACAUGGAUUCCUUUCCACGUGGCCCACAAGAAACACCUGUCCCUCCAGACUCGGGGACCACCAGGGACCUUGAAUAGUUGCCUUGGCAACUCAUUGCCUGGCUAACUCCCACUCCUUUGGGUUUCAGCUUAAACAUCAGUUGUGCAAGAUCUUCUGGACCCCUAAGUUGGGUCCUCCUCUUGUAAGCAUUCAUAGCAUUCUCUACAUACCCUUUACAGCACUUUUAUGAGUUGAAUAGCAUGGUUAUUGGUGUGCUUAUUUGUUUCACACCUGUCUUUUGCACUAAAUUCUAAGCUCUCUGAGGAAAAGGAAUAUGUUUCUGUUGCGUACCAUCUUAUCACCACGUAGCAGUGGGUGCUCCAUAAGAUCCUCCUGCGUGAGUAAGUGAAUUCCCUGCCUCAUCCCUCUCUCAUGCCUUAGCAUGAGGCCUGAGGCCAAGAGCCCGUCCAUCACAUACCCCUUGCCCAAAGCCUCCUUAUAACGGUCAGGAGAAGGGUGGCAUCUCCUCCUCUCCCUUCUAACUCAAGGAACAAAUCACUGGCUACAUGAUAGUUGCCCUUCCUCCCAUCCUUCCAGCAUAGUAGCCCCUGCCCAGGAUCCAAAAGGCAGAAGGUGAGUAAUUGCUAUUUUUAUUUAUCUUUGCACAAGGCUGCCCUCUGGUGGUCGAACAUGUAGGAGCGAAUGGGAAGGAUGGAAACCCCAGUAGCCAGGAACCAGCCCAGCUGGCUGAGCCAACCACGCUCAAGAGACUGGCCAGCGAGCCAGGGAGUAGGUAAGUGCUACAAGAAGCGCAUCUGGGUGAAGAUUCGUGUCAGUUCUCCAUCCUUAUGAAUGGCUCCCUCCAAAUCUAACAGGAGGCCCUGGCCUCAGAAGAGCAGGAAAUGAAGGAAUGCCCUAUAGAAAUCUUACCUACCUCAGCCCCAGUAGGAUGGUGUGCAGGUAGGGGGAGCUGGUUUAAGUAGCUAUUCUUUCUCCUCAGUGGUAUGCAGGCAAACAUUUUACAGUCAGCUCUCAAAAAAGGAAAUCCCAAUUUGUAGUGUUUACCAAUUUCUGUAGUGUAAAUACCCCUACCAUGGCCCAUUUUAAACCACCGAUAUGAUGUCACUGAAUGAGGAGCUGGAAGAGAUGCCCAGUAGCACACCAUUAUCUAGAGUUUCCCCCAUACAGACACCAUGGACAGAAAUAACUUCAAGGGCACGAUUAAUAGUGAAAUAUAGUAAACUAAUUGAAAAUGA